rnacentral:rRNA from 1 species
GUGGGGAAUAUUGGACAAUGGGCGAAAGCCUGAUCCAGCCAUGCCGCGUGUGUGAAGAAGGCCUUUUGGUUGUAAAGCACUUUAAGCGAGGAGGAGGCUACCGAGAUUAAUACUCUUGGAUAGUGGACGUUACUCGCAGAAUAAGCACCGGCUAACUCUGUGCCAGCAGCCGCGGUAAUACAGAGGGUGCGAGCGUUAAUCGGAUUUACUGGGCGUAAAGCGUGCGUAGGCGGCUUUUUAAGUCGGAUGUGAAAUCCCUGAGCUUAACUUAGGAAUUGCAUUCGAUACUGGGAAGCUAGAGUAUGGGAGAGGAUGGUAGAAUUCCAGGUGUAGCGGUGAAAUGCGUAGAGAUCUGGAGGAAUACCGAUGGCGAAGGCAGCCAUCUGGCCUAAUACUGACGCUGAGGUACGAAAGCAUGGGGAGCAAACAGGAUUAGAUACCCUUGUAGUCC